AGCGGUUCUCGGGUGAUGUACCCCAGAAUUGGGCUCCCCCCUCUCUGGUUCCGGGUGUGUCACCCUAGAACAGCA
rfam:Myotis brandtii contig248035, whole genome shotgun sequence.